rnacentral:rRNA from 1 species
AACGAACGCUGGCGGCAUGCCUAACACAUGCAAGUCGAACGAAGCCUUCGGGCUUAGUGGCGCACGGGUGCGUAACGCGUGGGAAUCUGCCCUUGGGUUCGGAAUAACAGUUAGAAAUGACUGCUAAUACCGGAUGAUGUCUUCGGACCAAAGAUUUAUCGCCCAAGGAUGAGCCCGCGUAGGAUUAGGUAGUUGGUGGGGUAAUGGCCCACCAAGCCGACGAUCCUUAGCUGGUCUGAGAGGAUGAUCAGCCACACUGGGACUGAGACACGGCCCAGACUCCUACGGGAGGCAGCAGGGGGGAAUAUUGGACAAUGGGCGAAAGCCUGAUCCAGCGAUGCCGCGUGAGUGAUGAAGGCCUUAGGGUUGUAAAGCUCUUUUACCAGGGAUGAUAAUGACAGUACCUGGAGAAUAAGCUCCGGCUAACUCCGUGCCAGCCGCCGCAGUAA